AGUUCUUGGAAUAAACUGUUCUCUUAUCAGAUUCUUCCUCCAGGGUUCUCUGAGCCUCAUCUGUCUCACCUCGGUCAUCUAAUCUUGCAUUCUCUCAGUCCUUGCAGUCAUUUUUGCCAAGAGAUUUCUGUCCUUGUUGUGUCCCCCUUGUUUGUCAUGUUCUGUCCUGUGUCACGGGUGUCUGCACAUAUUUUUGCCGGAGCUGCUCUGCCCUGCUGCAUAGCCUGGAGUAAUAGGACAAAUCCUGGGGGCUUGAAAUUUGUAGUGUGGGGUGUUGUUGGAUUAUAGAUGGGACUUGUUGAUGGACCCAAGAUGUCUGGAGCUGUGAAGUUAUCCUGCAGCCCUUUGACAUUUGUCCUCACUUGCUUUUAGAUGCAGGUGGAUAAAAUCCGUGGCAGAGCACCCCAUCCCAGGAAGUAAAGCCACAUAUCAGAAGUCAAGGCGAGGUGGUCAAGGCAAUCCAUUUGGAGUAUGCAUUACUCCCCAUCACGUACUGGCCGGUGGACAGUGAUCAUUCCUCUUGUGAGCCCUGUGGAAGUAUUACAGGACUUGGUGAUGAAGCCUC